rnacentral:rRNA from 1 species
AUGCAAGUCGAGGGGUAACAGGGAGCUUGCUUCGCUGACGACCGGCGCACGGGUGCGUAACGCGUAUAGAACCUACCUUUUACUAGGGGAAUAGCCUUUAGAAAUGAAGAUUAAUGCCCCACUAGUAUUGUAGACUGGCAUCAGUUUAUAAUUAAAGAUUUAUCGGUAAAAGAUGGCUAUGCGUCCUAUUAGUUAGUUGGUAAGGUAACGGCUUACCAAGACAUCGAUAGGUAGGGGUCCGUGAGAGGGAGAUCCCCCACCACUGGUACUGAGACACGGACCAGACUCC